rnacentral:snRNA from 1 species
GUGCUUGCUUGGGCAGCACAUACACUAACAUUAGAACAAUACAGAGGACAUUAGCAUGGCCCCUGCACAAGGAUGACACACAAAUUCAUAAAGUGUUACAUACUUUU